rnacentral:rRNA from 1 species
CUUGAUGGGGUAAGGCUCCCAGUAGACGACUGGGUUGAUAGGCCGGAUCUGGAAGCCAGGUAACUGGUGGAGGUGACCGGUACUAAUAGGCCGAGGGCUUGUCCUCAGUUG